rnacentral:rRNA from 1 species
GGAAGACACCAGUGGCGAAGGCGGCUUACUGGACUGUAACUGACGCUGAGGUAGGGAGGAUGGGUAGCAAACAGGAUUAGAUACCCUGGAAACACCGCCGUAAACGAUGAAUGCUAGGUGUUGGAAGGUUUCCGCCUCUCAGUGCCGCAGCUAACGCAUUAAGCAUUCCGCACUGGGGGAGUACGACCGCAAGGUUGAAACUCAAAGGAAUUGACGGGGACCCGCACAAGCGGUGGAGCAUGUGGUUUAAUUCGAAGCUACGCGAAGAACCUUACCAGGUCUUGACAUCCUUUGAACACCUUAGAGAUAGGGGUUUCCUCUCGGGAACAAAAGAAAAGGGGGGGGCUUGUUGUCCUCAACUCCUGGCGGGAGAAGUUGGGUUUAGGCCCUUUAUCAUGUGCAACCUUUUUUUUAAUUUCCAGCAUUUUUUUGGCACCCUAGGCAGACUGCCGGGACAAACCGGGGAAAGGGGG